rnacentral:rRNA from 1 species
UACGUAGGCAGCAAGCGUUGUUCGGAGUUACUGGGCGUAAAGGGUGUGUAGGCGGCUUCGUAAGUUCGGUGUGAAAUCUCCCGGCUUAACUGGGAGGGUGCGCCGAAAACUGCGAAGCUGGAGCGCAGGAGAGGAAAGCAGAAUUCCUGGUGCAGCGGUGAAAUGCGUAGAUAUCAGGAGGAAUACCGGUGGUGAAGGCGGCUUUCUGGACUGCUGCUGACGCUGAUACACGAAAGGCGUGGGGAGCAA